UACAGAGGUCUCAAGCGUUGUUCGGAUUCAUUGGGCGUAAAGGGUGCGUAGGCGGCGCGGUAAGUCGGGUGUGAAAUCUCAGAGCUUAACUCUGAAACUGCAUUCGAUACUGCCGUGCUUGAGGACUGGAGAGGAGACUGGAAUUUACGGUGUAGCGGUGAAAUGCGUAGAUAUCGUAAGGAAGACCAGUGGCGAAGGCGGGUCUCUGGACAGUUCCUGACGCUGAGGCACGAAGGCCAGGGGAGCAAACGGG
rnacentral:rRNA from 1 species